UUGGAAAGAAUUAAAUGGAAGAAAAUCAGAGUCCAAACUAAUUCUACAUGAGGAGCAAACUGAGAAAGAAUUGGAACCAAUUCUUGAAAAACUUGAUUUGGACAGUCGAAACCUUACUUUGUUUUGCAGAUUUUGUGGACCCAGGAAGGAAGAAAUUCUUCUCCUCUAAUUAACCAUGCCUCCUUUCCUUCUUUUACUAUGAAAAUCAUAAUAAAAUCAAAAAAUUUGGGCAGCAUAAGGAGUAGAUGGCGGGUGGUUGCUUAAAGCCUAUCCAAAGGAGGAGAGAUUCUAUACCAAAUAAAAAGAAUGAUAUAUAGAAUAAAGUCAUGGGAAAAAUAUCAUCUUAACCCUAGCCCUAGCCCUAUUUAAGGAUCCUAAAACACCAGCUG
rnacentral:lncRNA from 1 species